rnacentral:rRNA from 1 species
UACGUAGGGUGCAAGCGUUAAUCGGAAUUACUGGGCGUAAAGCGUGCGCAGGCGGUGAUGUAAGACAGGUGUGAAAUCCCCGGGCUUAACCUGGGAACUGCAUUUGUGACUGCAUCGCUGGAGUGCGGCAGAGGGGGAUGGAAUUCCGCGUGUAGCAGUGAAAUGCGUAGAUAUGCGGAAGAACACCGAUGGCGAAGGCAAUCCCCUGGGCCUGCACUGACGCUCAUGCACGAAAGCGUGGGGAGCAAACAGG